GGAGAGAUGUCUGAGCGGUUGAAAGAGCGCGACUCGAAAUCGCGUGAUAGCCUAAAGCUAUCCGGGGGUUCGAAUCCCCCUCUCUCCGCCA
rnacentral:tRNA from 1 species